rnacentral:rRNA from 1 species
GUGGGGAAUAUUGGACAAUGGGGGCAACCCUGAUCCAGCCAUGCCGCGUGUGUGAAGAAGGCCUUCGGGUUGUAAAGCACUUUUGUUGGGGAAGAAACCGGCCGGGUUAAUACCCUGGUUGAAUGACGGUACCCAAAGAAUAAGCACCGGCUAACUUCGUGCCAGCAGCCGCGGUAAUACGAAGGGUGCAAGCGUUACUCGGAAUUACUGGGCGUAAAGCGUGCGUAGGCGGUUUGUUAAGUCUGCUGUGAAAGCCCUGGGCUCAACCUGGGAACUGCAGUGGAUACUGGCGAGCUAGAGUGUGUCAGAGGAUGGUGGAAUUCCCGGUGUAGCGGUGAAAUGCGUAGAGAUCGGGAGGAACACCAGUGGCGAAGGCGGCCAUCUGGGACAACACUGACGCUGAGGCACGAAAGCGUGGGGAGCAAACAGGAUUAGAAACCCCAGUAGUCC